GAGUUUGAUCCUGGCUCAGGAUGAACGCCGGCGGUGUGCCUAAUACAUGCAAGUCGUACGCACUGGCCCAACUGAUUGAUGGUGCUUGCACCUGAUCGACGAUGGAUCACCAGUGAGUGGCGGACGGGUGAGUAACACGUAGGUAACCUGCCCUGUACAGGGGGAUAACAAUCAGAAAUGACUGCUAAUACCGCAUAAGACCACAGCACCGCAUGGUGCAGGGGUAAAAACUCCGGUGGUACAGGAUGGACCCGCGUCUGAUUAGCUGGUUGGUGAGGUAACGGCUCACCAAGGCGACGAUCAGUAGCCGGCUUGAGAGAGUGAACGGCCACAUUGGGACUGAGACACGGCCCAAACUCCUACGGGAGGCAGCAGUGGGGAAUAUUGCACAAUGGGGAAACCCUGAUGCAGCAACGCCGCGUGAGUGAAGAAGUAUUCGGUAUGUAAAGCUCUAUCAGCAGGGAGGAAAGUGACGGUACCUGACUAAGAAGCCCGGCUAACUACG
rnacentral:rRNA from 1 species